rnacentral:lncRNA from 1 species
CACGCCAGUCACACACACCUGCAAGCACACGCACCUGCAAACACACGCACCAGCUAGCACACGCACCAGCAAGCACACACAGCUGCAAGCACACACAGCUGCAAGCACACACAGCUGCAAGCACACGCACCUGCAAGCACACACACCUGCAAGCACACACAGCUGCAAGCACACGCACCUGCAAGCACACACAGCUGCAAGCACGCACACCUGCAAGCACACACAGCUGCAAGCACACACCAGCAAGCACACACACCUGCAAGCACACACAGCUGCAAGCACACAGCAGCAAGCACACACACCUGCAAGCACACACAGCUGCAAGCAUGCACACCUGCAAGCACACGCACCUGCAAGCACACACAGCUGCAAGCGCACAGCAGCAAGCACACACACCUGCAAGCACACACAGCUGCAAGCACGCACACCUGCAAGCACACGCACCUGCAAGCACACACCUGCAAGCACAC